rnacentral:tRNA from 1 species
UAGUGAGUAGUUUAAGAUAAAACAAUAGAUUGUGGUUCUAUAAAUAGGAUUUGUUAGCUCUCAUUAG